CAUGCAAGUCGAGCGGUAGCACAGAGAGCUUGCUCUCGGGUGACGAGCGGCGGACGGGUGAGUAAUGUCUGGGAAACUGCCUGAUGGAGGGGGAUAACUACUGGAAACGGUAGCUAAUACCGCAUAAUGUCGCAAGACCAAAGUGGGGGACCUUCGGGCCUCAUGCCAUCAGAUGUGCCCAGAUGGGAUUAGCUAGUAGGUGGGGUAACGGCUCACCUAGGCGACGAUCCCUAGCUGGUCUGAGAGGAUGACAAG
rnacentral:rRNA from 1 species